rnacentral:rRNA from 1 species
CAGUUCGGUCCCUAUCUGCCGUGGGCGCUGGAGAAUUGAGGGGGGCUGCUCCUAGUACGAGAGGACCGGAGUGGACGCAUCACUGGUGUUCGGGUUGUCAUGCCAAUGGCACUGCCCGGUAGCUAAAUGCGGAAGAGAUAAGUGCUGAAAGCAUCUAAGCACGAAACUUGCCCCGAGAUGAGUUCUCCCUGAGACUAUAAGUCUCCUGAAGGAACGUUGAAGACGACGACGUUGAUAGGCCGGGUGUGUAAGCGCAGCGAUGCGUUGAGCUAACCGGUACUAAUGAACCGUGAGGCUUAACCUU